UCAGUGGGGCUGCCCCUCCUCCUCUCAGCAAGGGGAAAUUAGUAGGAGGCCGCCUGGGGAGACUGAACUCCCUCUCAGCUCAGCAUUAACAGGAUUUCCCCCCCAUCACCACUAUCCCAGCCACCCCCCUGAUGGAGGCCCAGCUGGGAACCUGGACUUUGAUCUGUGCUUGGCCUUAAUGAGACUUCUGGAAGCCGCUUUCCUACCUUCAUUCCUGGUCUGUGGCCUUCAUUCUUGUUUUGGUUACAAACUCGACGGACUUUGAAGAGAACUUCUGGGUGCCCUUGUCAUCGAGCCUGCCAUCCCACUGGGACCCGAACAGGACCCCCUGCAUUCCUGAUGUGGUCAAUGGACUCUUUUGCUGCCAGUACGCAAACUUACCCAUGGGGUCCCAUCUUUUCUUUUUCAAGGUCAUCGCUCUGCUGUACCCUCAGUAAUUCUGUUCUCUGUUGGAGUCAUCUUGUCAAUAUGCCAAUAUGCUGUAAUUGCUUUCUUCUUAAAUAAAAUUAAGAAACAAAA